GCGCCCGUUUGGAUCAACGCUCAAAGUCCACCGGAGUUGGUGAAGACGAUGGGGGCAUGAUGAUGCAAUCUAAUAGUAUAUGAUGGCAGACUAGUAGCUAGAAUAAUCAUGGCCACCGGCGUGAGCUUAGCCUUUUCUUCCUAUAAAUACCGGCCGCCCCGCGUUCCUCCACCACAUCCAGCAAACAAGCUCUCUCAAGGCACUAUCUAGCUGACUAGAAUAGACCGAUCAUGGCAGCGCGCGCCAUUGCUGUCCUCUCGCUCAUCCUCGCGCUGGUCGCCAUCGCCAGCGGAGGAGCCUCGGCGCAGCUGUCGUCGGGCUUCUACUCCCGCUCCUGCCCGGGCAUGCUCAAAGCCGUGCGCUCGGCGCUGCACCCGGCCAUCGCCAGGGAGCGCCGCGUGGGCGCCUCCAUCGUCCGCCUCUUCUUCCACGACUGCUUCGUCCAGGGCUGCGACGCCUCGCUGCUGCUGGACGACGCGCCGGGCCUGCGCGGCGAGAAGAACGCCACGCCCAACAAGAACUCCGCCAGGGGGUUCGAGGUCAUCGACGCCGUCAAGGCGGCCGUCGAGGGGUGUUGUCCCGGCGUCGUCUCUUGCGCCGACAUCCUGGCCAUCGCGGCCGAGGAGAGCGUCGCUUUCCUGGGUGGGCCGAGCUGGGAGGUGAAGAUGGGGCGGAGGGACUCGACGACGGCGAGCUUCAACGGCGCCGAGAACAACAUCCCUCCCCCGACAUCGGGGCUCGCGAACCUUACGUCCCUCUUCGCGGCGCAGGGGCUCUCCCAGAAAGACAUGGUCGCACUCUCAGACCAAAAAUGGUUGUAGAAGGAUAUGCGGCUCCUAGUGAAGGAGAGGGGCCUGUAAACAAUUCUUCUCAGUGGAACUCGAAACAGCCCGCCAAGCGGCAGCCGCGUCAUGCUGAUAUCGAUGGGGAGGCAGAGGAUGACGAGGUUGGUGACCCAUUCCUCUUCGUGAAACGGCGGAAACGGAAGGCGACCACGCAGGUUGGAGUUGUAGCUGGAGUUGGCACAUCGUCUGCAGCAGCUGCCGAGGUUUUACAGGCUAUGGGGGUGCAUGAACUGAUGUAGAUUUUUGCACACAAUUCUAAGCUACAAAGUGACAUAUACUACUGUGUGGAAAGAUCAAA